CCUACGGGUGGCAGCAGUAGGGAAUCUUCCACAAUGGGCGAAAGCCUGAUGGAGCAACGCCGCGUGGGUGAAGAAGGUCUUCGGAUCGUAAAACUCUGUUGUUAGAGAAGAAAGUUCGUGAGAGUAACUGUUCACGUUUCGACGGUAUCUAACCAGACAGCCACGGCUAACUACGUGCCAGCAGCCGCGGUAAUACGUAGGUGGCAAGCGUUGUGCGGAUUUAUUGGGCGUAAAGGGAACGCAGGCGGUGGUUUAAGUCUGAUGUGAAAGCCUUCGGCUUAACCGGAGUAGUGCAUUGGAAACUGGGAGACUUGAGUGCAGAAGAGGAGAGUGGAACUCCAAGUGUAGCGGUGAAAUGCGUAGAUAUAUGGAAGAACACCAGUGGCGAAGGCGGCUCUCUGGUCUGUAACUGACGCUGAGGUUCGAAAGCGUGGGUAGCAAACAGGAUUAGAUACCCUGGUAGUC
rnacentral:rRNA from 1 species